rnacentral:rRNA from 1 species
CCUUACCCAUCCCUGCCUCUUGGGGAGUACACGUCCGAUCUCUGAAGCUAAGCAGGGUCGGGCCUGGUUAAUACUUGGAUGGGAGACCGCCUGGGAAUACCAUGUGCUGUAAGCU